rnacentral:piRNA from 1 species
UCUUACCAGGUUAGGUGAUCCUUCCUCAGU